rnacentral:rRNA from 1 species
GACGAACGCUGGCGGCGUGCCUAAUACAUGCCAGUCGAGCGGACGAAUCGAAAGCUUGCUUUUGAUUCGUUAGCGGCGGACGGGUGAGUAACACGUGGGCAACCUGCCCUGUAGACGGGGAUAACACCGAGAAAUCGGUGCUAAUACCGGAUAACACGAAAUGUCGCAUGACGUUUCGUUGAAAGACGGCGCAAGCUGUCGCUACGGGAUGGGCCCGCGGCGCAUUAGCUAGUUGGUGAGGUAACGGCUCACCAAGGCGACGAUGCGUAGCCGACCUGAGAGGGUGAUCGGCCACACUGGGACUGAGACACGGCCCAGACUCCUACGGGAGGCAGCAGUAAGGAAUCUUCCGCAAUGGACGAAAGUCUGACGGAGCAACGCCGCGUGAGCGAAGAAGGCCUUCGGGUCGUAAAGCUCUGUUGUUAGGGAAGAACAAGUAACGCAGUAACUGGCGUUACCGUGACGGUACCUAACGAGAAAGCCACGGCUAACUACGUG